AGUGAACGCUGGCGGUAGGCCUAACACAUGCAAGUCGAACGGCAGCACAGUAAGAGCUUGCUCUUACGGGUGGCGAGUGGCGGACGGGUGAGGAAUACAUCGGAAUCUACUUUUUCGUGGGGGAUAACGUAGGGAAACUUACGCUAAUACCGCAUACGACCUACGGGUGAAAGCAGGGGAUCUUCGGACCUUGCGCGAUUGAAUGAGCCGAUGUCGGAUUAGCUAGUUGGCGGGGUAAAGGCCCACCAAGGCGACGAUCCGUAGCUGGUCUGAGAGGAUGAUCAGCCACACUGGAACUGAGACACGGUCCAGACUCCUACGGGAGGCAGCAGUGGGGAAUAUUGGACAAUGGGCGCAAGCCUGAUCCAGCCAUACCGCGUGGGUGUAGAAGGCCUUCGGGUUGUAAAGCCCUUUUGUUGGGAAAGAAAAGCAGCAGGUUAAUACCCCGCUGUUCUGACGGUACCCAAAGAAUAAGCACCGGCUAACUUCGU
rnacentral:rRNA from 1 species